rnacentral:rRNA from 1 species
AGUGAACGCUGGCGGUAGGCCUAACACAUGCAAGUCGAACGGCAGCACAGGAGAGCUUGCUCUCUGGGUGGCGAGUGGCGGACGGGUGAGGAAUACAUCGGAAUCUACUCUGUCGUGGGGGAUAACGUAGGGAAACUUACGCUAAUACCGCAUACGACCUACGGGUGAAAGCAGGGGACCUUCGGGCCUUGCGCGAUUGAGUGAGCCGAUGUCGGAUUAGCUAGUUGGCGGGGUAAAGGCCCACCAAGGCGACGAUCCGUAGCUGGUCUGAGAGGAGGAUCAGCCACACUGGAACUGAGACACGGUCCAGACUCCUACGGGAGGCAGCAGUGGGGAAUAUUGGACGAUGGGCGCAAGCCUGAUCCAGCCAUACCGCGUGGGUGAAGAAGGCCUUCGGGUUGUAAAGCCCUUUUGUUGGGAAAGAAAUCCAGCUGGCUAAUACCCGGUUGGGAUGACGGUACCCAAAGAAUAAGCACCGGCUAACUUCGUGCCAGCCGCCGCAGUAA